CUUAUGCCUCUACUAUCCCUUUGUGGAUUUGGGUAACCCCCACCUUAGGUUAAUUCCUAUUUUACCACCCGGGCUCCUUAUCGAAUCCUAUUGUAUCUCUUUGGUGACUUCUACCAAUCUUGAUUUUUUGCUUG